rnacentral:rRNA from 1 species
UGGGGAAUAUUGGACAAUGGGCGCAAGCCUGAUCCAGCAACGCCGCGUGGAGGACGAAGGCCUUCGGGUCGUAAACUCCUGUCAGUAGGGACGAAAAAGUAGGGUCGAACAGGCCUUGCCAUUGACGGUACCUGCAGAGGAAGCCCCGGCUAACUCCGUGCCAGCAGCCGCGGUAAUACGGAGGGGGUUAGCGUUGUUCGGAAUUACUGGGCGUAAAGCGCACGUAGGCGGACCAGAAAGUUGGGGGUGAAAUCCCAGGGCUCAACCCUGGAACUGCCUUUCAUACUGGCGAUCUGGAGUUCGAGAGAGGUGAGUGGAAUUCCGAGUGUAGAGGUGAAAUUCGUAGAUAUUCGGAGGAACACCAGUGGCGAAGGCGGCUCACUGGCUCGAUACUGACGCUGAGGUGCGAAAGCGUGGGGAGCAAA